rnacentral:lncRNA from 1 species
GUUGUUCAUAGGAAUAAACAAAAUAGUCUAUCUUUUGAUAAUUGUGCCCAAUUAUCCCUUAUUAGGCAUCUCAUGACUCUUAAAAAAAAAUUACAAGAUGAUUUGAGCUAAUAGCUCGUUAAGAAUGCCUACACAUCUACCAACAUAAUAAUAUAAAUUUAAAAUUAAUAAAUAAUUAUUACUAAUAUAAACAUAACACCAAA